UACGUAGGGUGCAAGCGUUAAUCGGAAUUACUGGGCGUAAAGCGUGCGCAGGCGGCUUUGCAAGACAGAUGUGAAAUCCCCGGGCUUAACCUGGGAACUGCAUUUGUGACUACAUGGCUGGAGUGCGGCAGAGGGGGAUGGAAUUCCGCGUGUAGCAGUGAAAUGCGUAGAUAUGCGGAGGAACACCGAUGGCGAAGGCAAUCCCCUGGGCCUGCACUGACGCUCAUGCACGAAAGCGUGGGGAGCAAACAGG
rnacentral:rRNA from 1 species